rnacentral:rRNA from 1 species
GCAAGUCGAGCGCCCUCUUUGGAGGGAGCGGCGGACGGGUUAGUAACGCGUGGGAACGUGCCUUUCGCUAUGGAAUAGCCCAGGGAAACUUGGAUUAAUACCGUAUACGCCCUUUGGGGGAAAGAUUUAUCGGUGAGGGAUUGGCCCGCGUUGGAUUAGGUAGUUGGUGGGGUAAUGGCCUACCAAGCCGACGAUCCAUAGCUGGUUUGAGAGGAUGAUC